GAUGAACGCUGGCGGCGUGCCUAAUACAUGCAAGUCGAGCGAACAGACGAGGAGCUUGCUUCUCUGAUGUUAGCGGCGGACGGGUGAGUAACACGUGGAUAACCUACCUAUAAGACUGGGAUAACUUCGGGAAACCGGAGCUAAUACCGGAUGAUAUUUUGAACCGCAUGGUUCAAUAGUGAAAGACGGUCUUGCUGUCACUUAUAGAUGGAUCCGCGCUGCAUUAGCUAGUUGGUAAGGUAACGGCUUACCAAGGCAACGAUGCAUAGCCGACCUGAGAGGGUGAUCGGCCACACUGGAACUGAGACACGGUCCAGACUCCUACGGGAGGAAGCAGUAGGGAAUCUUCCGCAAUGGGCGAAAGCCUGACGGAGCAACGCCGCGUGAGUGAUGAAGGUCUUCGGAUCGUAAAACUCUGUUAUUAGGGAAGAACAAAUGUGUAAGUAACUGUGCACGUCUUGACGGUACCUAAUCAGAAAGCCACGGCUAACUACGUG
rnacentral:rRNA from 1 species